AAUUUUGGACAAUGGGGGAAACCCUGAUCCAGCCAUCCCGCGUGUAUGAUGAAGGCCUUCGGGUUGUAAAGUACUUUUGGCAGAGAAGAAACGGUAUCUCCUAAUACGAGAUACUGCUGACGGUAUCUGCAGAACAAGCACCGGCUAACUACGUUCCAGUAGCCGCGGGAAUACGUAGGGUGCUAGUGUUAAUCGGAAUUACUGGGCGUAACGCGUGUGUAGGCGGUUCGGAAAGAAAGAUGAGAAAUCCCAGGGCUCAACCUUGGAACUGCAUUUUUAACUGCCGAGCUAGAGUAUGUCAGAGGAGGGUAGAAUUCCACGUGUAGCAGUGAAAUGCGUAGAUAUGUGGAGGAAUACCGAUGGCGAAGGCAGCCCCCUGGGAUAAUACUGACGCUCAGACACGAAAGCGUGGGGAGCAAACA
rnacentral:rRNA from 1 species